rnacentral:ncRNA from 2 species
UACGGAGGGGGCUAGCGUUGUUCGGAAUUACUGGGCGUAAAGCGCGCGUAGGCGGACCUGCAAGUCGGGGGUGAAAGCCCGAGGCUCAACCUCGGAACUGCCUUCGAUACUGCGGGUCUUGAGUCCGGGAGAGGUGAGUGGAAUUCCUAGUGUAGAGGUGAAAUUCGUAGAUAUUAGGAAGAACACCAGUGGCGAAGGCGGCUCACUGGCCCGGUACUGACGCUGAGGCGCGAAAGCGUGGGGAGCAAACAGG